AGAGUGAACGCUGGCGGCAGGCCUAACACAUGCAAGUCGAACGGCAGCACAGGGGAGCUUGCUCCCUGGGUGGCGAGUGGCGGACGGGUGAGGACAACGUCGGAAUCUGCCUUUUUGUGGGGGAUAACGUAGGGAAACUUACGCUAAUACCGCAUACGACCCCGGGCCGGGAGGUACGGGGUGAAAGCGGAGGACCUUCGGGCUUCGCGCAGAGAGAUGAGCCGACGUCGGAUUAGCUAGUUGGUGGGGUAAAGGCCCACCGAAGGCGACGAUCCGUAGCUGGUCUGAGAGGAUGAUCAGCCACACUGGAACUGAGACACGGUCCAGACUCCGUACGGGAGCAGCGAGUGGGGAAUAGUUGGAACAAGUGGGCGCGAAGCCUGAUCCAAGCCAUGCCGCGUGUGUGAAGAAGGUCC
rnacentral:rRNA from 1 species